CACCCUCAGGAAUUGUAGUUCAAGAAGAACCUUGUCCAAAAACCCAUUGUUUUCGAAACCAACUGACAUGACUAAGAAAGUUCGCAAGUGUUUAGCUCUAUGUAAUUCAUUAAGCUUUCUGUAUGAUCCAGAUCUUGGACCUACAAGUGAAAAGUGACGAAAUUUAUCAAAAGCUUCAUUCAUAUCAGAUACAUCCACCUCACCAUCCAAUCUAAAGGAAAACUCUCCUGCAACACUUGUGGCCAAGUCAUUCAUCAGGUCAUGCAUUGUAUAUCUUAACUCGUCAUUCGUUGAUUGUUGAAAAAAGGACCUUGACUUUAGCUCUUCAAAACACUCAUGACCUAAAUUCUCCAUUGACUUGUUUCCUUUUGAUUGGGACAAAAAUCCUUCUGCCACCCACAAUAGGACUAAUUUAUUUUUUUCAAACACAUAGUCCUUGGGAAUUAAGGAGCAAUAUGCGAACAACUGCUUCAGAUGUGGAGGGAGAUGAUAGUAGCUUAGUUUUAGAGCCGGAAGAAUCUUAUUUCCAUCGUCUAUAUCCCAUAUCUCACUCUUCAACAACUUCUCCCAUUUAUUGGCAUUUCGAUUUCCCUUCAAGACCCUCCCAAGUGCUGUCAAAGCCAAAGGCAAUCUACCACAUUUCUGAACCAUACCUUCACCAAACAACUUAAGUGUUGGAUGUUUGUCAAAGUUUUUUUCUCCUAACGCGUGUUGAGCAAAUAAUGACAAUGCAUCUUCAUUUGACAAAACCCCUAAAGGGUAAGUUUGUUGCGAGUCCAUCACUGAUGCAACUCGGGUACUCUGGGUUGUAACAAUAAUUCUACUUCCAGGUGCCCCUACAAGAAGAGGACUUUGUAUUUGUUCCCACUUACUGUCGUCUUCAUUCCAGACAUCAUCUAGAACAAGUAGGAACCUUUUAUUUGAAAGUUCUUCUUUGAGGGCCACAUGAAGCAGAUCAAGAUUAGCAAAAUCUUUUUUUUGACCUGUUACUGUUACUGCUUGAAAAAUAGCCUUGCUAAUCUUAAACACAUCGCACUCUUAAAAAACACAAAUCCAUGCCCUGACUUCAAAGUGAUCUUUCACUUUCUGCUCGUUGUAUAAAAGUUUGGCAAGAGUAGUUUUGCCUAUUCCACCCAUUCCAACUAUGGACACUACGCUCACAUUCUGGUCACAUCCUUCAUUUCCCAACAACUUCCCCAACAAUUUCUCUUUAUCCCCUUCCCGACCCAUGAUUUUGGACUCAUCGACCAGUGAAAGUUUGCUCCAACCGUCUCUCUGUUAUAUUUGAACUUUCAACAUUCACAUUCAAACCCAAAUCAUUUUUCUGGUCAACAAGAUCAUGCAAUUUUAUGGUGAUCUCUUCUAGCUUAGAACUCAUCUGCUGACCAUACAUAAUGUUGCGAGGAGUGAAAUUAGUACAGCAUUUUGGGACGAGCUUCAAUACCUUACUAGUGCUGGUGUUGGGAUGAGCUUCUUGAUUCAACUUGCGUCGCAGAGCUUCGGUGACCAAAUCGUCGAGUACAUCGUCAAUGUCGUAAGCUAAAUGCUGGAGAUCGUUCACCCACAGUUGAACAGCUCUUUCUUUUAUUUGCUUCUGGGUUGCAUCAGCGAGCACGGCUUGGAUCAUGGGCAGGUUUUUCUUCCAUUUCUUCAGCUGAGAAUCGAUUCCUUCGGAUCGAGCAAGCUUAAUCAAGUCACCAGAGAUCAGCUUCUUACAUUUUGGGAAUAAGGAUAGUAAGAGAAAGAAGUAAGAGACUAAUUGGACUUAGUCAGGAUACUUACUUAGAGAAAGUACUAAAACGUUUUAGUAUGGAAAACUCAAAGAAGGGAGAACUACCGAUACAAAGUAAUGCCAAGUUGAGUAAGACUCAAAGUCCGAGUACCGAAGCUGAAAUAGCAGAAAUGAGCCGAGUACCAUACGCUUCCGCAGUUGGCUCAAUCAUGUAUGCUAUGACUUGUACUUGCCCUGAUGUAGCCUUCGCUUUGAGCAUGGUUAGCAGAUAUCAAGGGAACCCUGGCAGAGCACAUUGGAUUGCGGUGAAGAAUAUCCUUAAGUACCUUCGGAGGACGAAGGAAUGGUUCUUAGUCCUUGGAGGGAGUGAUGACUUGAAGGUGCGAGGGUAUAGUGACGCAAGUUUUUAGACCGACAGGGACAACUACCGUUCGAAGUCGGGCUGGGUCUUUACCCUAAAUGGAGGAGCAGUGACAUGGAAGAGUUCCAAGCAGGAGACUGUAGCUGAUUCAACGUGCGAAUCAGAGUACAUUGCAGCGAGCGAAACGUCGAAGGAGGCAAUAUGGCUAAAGAACUUCAUCGGUGAUCUUGGAGUUGUACCUGCCAUAAAGGAGCCCAUGGAGAUUUUCUGUGAUAACGAAGGAGCGGUUGCCUUGACCAAGGAACCGAGGGAUCAUGGUAGAUCAAGACAUAUCGACAGAAAGUAUCACUUCAUUAGACAUCGUGUAGAAGAAGGACAACUCGUAGUGAAGAGGAUAUCAUCAGAAGAUAACCCAGCAGAUCCGCUUACGAAGGGACUGAGUAGGGUUAAGCACUUGCAGCAUGCUAGGAGUAUUGGGCUGAAGGAUGAUAUUAGCAUAGAUUAGAUAGUAUUAGAAACGUGUAAUAGAUAAAUGUAAUUAACAUUUGAUGAUUAAAUAAAGGAGUUUUAUUUAUGAGUAAUGUUACUAUCUUAUGUUAAUUGUUUAACUAUUGUUUCACUUUGCAUGUUUUGACUUCCAGAAUAAUUGAGUUUAUUAGGAAUAAUCGAAUUGUUCAAAUUGUCCACAAUCGUUCAUAUGUUGGAAGUAGAUAUGAAUGAAGAUUGUCAUGAAUUGGUGUGUAGAAUGUCUAAAUGGUGUUAGACAUAGCAAAGGAUUGCUACAACGUUCAUGAGUGCUUAUGAACUAGUUUUGAGCAUUGGAACAAACCCGCGCUUGCUGGAAUCACCUUAUGGAAUACGAUAUAAAAGGUGAUCGCAAGACGAUAAUAUCAUAUAGUCUUAAAACCUAGAUAUAUGGUUUGUUAUUUGUUAAUUGAUUGUACAUUGAUAAUGCGAAAACGCAUCAGUAACUCGGUGUUAUAAAACGCAUUGUUGUGUAUAGUUGGUUAAUGAAUAAGUAAAUGCAUAUAAGUCGAAGUUUAUCUGUAACUUUUAUCUAAGAAGGUAAAAGCGAUAUCUCGGCCGCUCGAUGAUUUGAUUUGACUUAUGUGUCGGGCCCGGUCAGAACUGAAUUGAUGUGUUCGAUUAAGUUCUAUGUCAAAUAAAUCAGAGAUCGAGAAACCUAAAUGUUUGACUAACCAUUCCAUAGGAUUGUCAGCAUGAUAUCUAACAGAGGACUGUACGAUCCCUUAUCUAAAGGACAAGAUUGAUUAGAUCAGAGUUUGACAGCGUCUUUGAGAGCUACGAUUGCAAACCGAAUUGUACUUGUGCAUAUAGUUACUAGACUUAUCCAAGUGGGAGACUGUUGGAAUAGUGUCUAAGGCUGCAACUAUAUUAGGCAAGUAUUUGACCCGGUUGUGCAUGGUCCUUUUGGGUUGCCUUCACCAUAGCAACUUGAUAGGAUGAUUUAUUAAGAGAGAGUAAAUAUUAUAAAGAAUAUUUAUAUGGUUAUUUGAUUAACAUAAGUCAUAGAAUUAAUUGGAAUUAAUUUGGUGACUUAAAGAGAUUAAUUAAAUAAAGGGGUAUAAACUCUCAAUUGUUUGAAAGUUAAGCUUUAGACUAUAAAUCCUUAUAGAUAUACAAGGGACGGAUUCUAGAAGCUAGGAUAGCCUCAAAAUCGUCCAUGACUUAUCUAAGGAAAAGAUUUGGAUAGCCUUAAGAGAAGAUUAUCCAAUUAGGGUUUAGACUGUAACCCUUAAGGAGUCUACAAGUAUAAAUAGACCCCAUGGGUAAGGGAAAUCGGCAUCUCACCUAAAGUAAGACAACUCUGGCCGAUUUCCUCCCCUCUCCUCUCUCCUAAAUCAUCUUCCUUGCUAUUGGUGUUUGUAAUCCAUUAGACGAGUGACAUUUGUGACUCUAGAAGCUCCAAGACAACAAGAUCAACAAGGAAUUCAAAGGUAUGGUUCUAGAUCUGUUUCAAUGUUGUUAUUUAACCUAAUUAGCUAUUAGAAUUCUUGGAUUCAAAGCAUGUUUAAUUAGAAAGCCUAGAUCCAAGCAUUAGGGUUUUGCAUGCGCACAUAGGAAAGUUCUUAUGGCUAAAACCCAUCAGUAACGAUGACCCCAUGAGAGAAAACGAAAGAACGAACCCUAGUGGUUUAGAUUAUGUUGGGGGUAAUGGGAAUUUGGAAACCUGAGCGGGAUGUGAGUUGAUUUUCAAUAUUCAAGAUUGACAUCUUCGAUUGUCGAUAGCAAAUGUUUGGAUCGAUGGUGCAACGGAGAACGCGAUUGGAAUUUCCGAUAUCCCUCAUGGCCUAUGGGUUUCAACAUUGAAGAUAAUAGAUAUUAGGUUUAAAGAGGAGGGAAUUACUAAAUCUAAAAUUUUUCAGGCAGAGGGAAUCUGAAACUUUUGGAAUGGAAGAAUGAGGGAAUAAACCAAAAAUGAAAUUUUAAUAUUUCUAUAAAAAUUGCAAACAAAUGAGUUUUUCUUUUUUAAGUUUUCUAUUUUUUUUCGAAAGAUAACUUUCUUAUCCAGGGUUUCCGGACCGGUUUUAAUUUUUUCAUAAAAUUACAAAUAAUUUUUUUUAAUUGAUAGUAUUAUCUAUUGUUUUUAUUAUUUAAAAAAUAAUAUCUAUGUUUUUAUUUCUAUCAUGAAAUUAAAAUCUAAUAUAUAAUUAUUUUGUUAUAAGUUUUUUAUCCAUAUGUAUGUGUGUAAUUUUAAACGAGUCUGGUUGAGGCCAAGCCAUAUCCAGAAGUUAUAAGCCCUAAUUUAUAAUCCCGAGACAUAAGCCCUAAAUCCUAAGCAUAAGCCAUAAGCCCUACUCCAUAAGCCUUAAUCCUUAAGCCCUAAGUCAUAAGCCAUAAGCCAUAAGGACUAAGGACUAAGCUAACUAUAAGUCAUAAGGUCUACACCUAAAGCUUUAAGCAAUAUGAGUUUAGUCAUAAGCUAUAAUCGCUAUUUUGUAAGCCUUAAACCAUAACCCAUAAGGAUUAUGGUAUGUGGUUUAAGAAUUAUGGCCUAUGACUUUAGAUUUAUGGUUUAUAGUUUAUUGCUUAAGAAUUGUAUCUUUUGGAUUAUGGCUUGAGACGUAUGGAUUAUGGCUUAUGAUAUAAGUCAUAAUCCAUAAGCCAUAUUUCAUAAACUUUAAGCCCUAAUCCAUAAAAUAUAAGCCACAAGCCUUAACUCCUAAGCUAUAAGCCGUCAAACAUAUAUCAUAAGAUAUUUUCAUACAAAAUAGGCCUGAAGCCCUAAGUCAUAUAGCAUAAGCCAUAAGCCUUAAGCCUUAAGCCUUUCGCCCUUACUCACAAGCCAUACACCUAAGACCUAAGCAUAAGCCUAAGUCAUGACCCUUGAGCCAUAAGCCACCUAUCCAUAUCUACAAACCCACACAUCCACCCUACCCUAUUACAAAUCAAUAUAUCCACCCACCCUACCCAAACCCAACUUUACAUACAUGUAUACACCCACACACACCCAUACACAAUCUUCCCAUAUUUGCCAAAGCACGCCCACCUACACCUAUACCCAAUACCUACCUCAUACAAUCCACCUUCACCUACAAACCCACACCAACACCACUCCAUAUAAAAAUUAAUAUUAAUAAUCUAUAUAUUCAAAUAAAAAUAUCAAUAUAUCAAUAUGACAGGCUUUGACUGAUAUUAACUAGAACCAACAAGCCUGACCAAUUGUCUUUAUUCGUAAUCGGUUAAUGACUUUCAUCUGAUUAAUCAAUCACUAAGGGUAAUGUGGGGGUGUAGGUAUGUGUGUGUGUGUAUGUGUAUGGAUUGGGUUGUAGGGGUGGUGUUGGGUAGGAUGUGUGGUAUGUAGAUGUGAGCUAAAGCCCUAAACCCUAACUACUAAGCCAUAAGCCUAUACCCUAGACAUGUAUCACAAGCCACAAGCCUCAAGCCUGAAUGAAUAAGCCUUAAGCCUAAAUCCAUAAUCACUAAUAUAUAAAUCAUAACUCAUAACUCAUAAGCCAUGAGGCAUAAAGCAUAUGUACCCUAAAGCUAUAAGCCCUAAUUUUAAGCCAUUAGCCCUAAUUUUUAAGCAUAAGUCAUAAGCUCUUAGUCAUAAGUCAUAACUCAUACGUCAUAAGUCAUGAUCCAUAAGCCAUAAUUAGACUAAUUCAUAAGCACUAAGCCUAAGGCCCUAUGCUUUAUGCCCUAAACAUAAGUCAUAAUCCCUCAAUCAUAAGUCAUGAUCCAUAAGCCAUAAUUGGCCUUAUUCAUAUGCAUUAAGCCUUAGGCCCUAUGCUUUAUACCCUAAGCCCUAAUCCAUAAGCCACAUGCCUUGCGCCCUAAGACCUAAGCCCUCAUCCAUAAGACUUGAGUCUUAAGUAAUUAAUCAACAACCAUAAGAAUUAAAUCUAAAGGUUAGGGCUUAGAACUUAAUGCUUAGGCUAACGAGAGUAGUCACCACCAACCCAUUAGAAAAGUGCUGCCAGCUGAACGCCACAUAAACUCCACUACAAGCUUAUUACCAAACCACUAGCCUUUUGAAAUGGUCACCACUCCAAAUUAUUUAUUUAUUUAUUUUGAUAUGAAAUUAAAUAAAAAAAAUUUAAAACAUAAACCUUAGCAUAUCACAUGCAAAGUAAAUGGUCAAAAAAGCAUAACCAAUCACAUGCGUCGUCUUCAUCCCUCUCCAUAACCACUCCACAACCAAGCCACUGGACACUGGGGAAGUGUUCACACAUGACUUGGUUGUCCACCUUAGUUUUCAUGCGUCUUUUUGGCACCCAUUCUAGAUAUCCUUGAUGCUUAGUGCUUAGGACAUAAGGUUCACGACUUAUAAGUUAGAGCUUAAGGCUUAUGACUUAUGGAUUGGGGUUUUUAGUUUACCUUUUUCAAAACCCUACCACACAGUAGACUAAAACAACAUAAGUAAAAAAGUAAGAAUUUUGAUAGUUUUUCUCUACAUUGGAGUUCAAACAAACCAUAGGAAAAUCAUAUAUAUUUUUUCUAUUUAUAUAAUCAAUAUUAAUUAAUAUAUUUUUAAAUUCUAUUGUUAAUUUAACUUUUUUUAAGUAUAUAUUUUGCUGAUACAAAUUUUCACCAAAAAAUUAAGAUUCCCACACUUAUUUUUCAUUUCCCUCAUCUUUCUUUAUCAAACUUUGCAUUCUCCUUAUCGUACUCGUGUUACCUCACCAAUGACAGACUCCCCUAACCUUUAUUGGCGAAUGACGUCUACCCCCACGAAACCCCUUACUUUAACAUCCCUUGUGGGUUGUCGCCACACUAUCGACCUACACUGUCGCACAUCACAAACAUCGCCGUCCUCGAUACCAAUUGAGAGUCCAUCUCCAAUUUCAAGCAAUCUUUAUUUUUGUUUGUAGAAGGGAAAGGCCAAACCUUGAUCCUAGCGUUACGUCAAGAAUAAGAAAAUGACAAAAAAUGACGAUGUACAUUCUUUAAUAUCUUUUUACCAUAUUAUACCAUCAAAUUUUUCUGGUGUAAUAUUGUUAUAACACAAAGUUAAUUUUUUCAGUUUUUUACUAUAAUGGUGGAUGACAUGUUAUAACGUAAACUGCAUAUUAUAGCAAUGUACUUUCGUUAUGCAAUGUUAGACAAAGUUGUAUUCUUUUCAUUUAUUUAUCAUAUUUUUCUGUUAAAGAAAGUUGUAUUCUUUUCAUUUUUUAAUGAUGUAUGAUCUGGUGCAAUUAAAAAAAUAGAUGACAAAAGGGCAAUUUGGUCCUUUCUUAUAUAGUUAUUUGUUUUGGUUUUAUUUAUUUUUUGGUUUUUUCAUAAAUUGUUUCUGACUUUACAAAACUGCCAUUCAAGUUUUUUCAUUAAUUUAUACAACCCUUUAAUUGCAAAAAAAAAAAAGCAAUGUACUUUUGUAAAAUGUCAUGAUUAAACGUUUUGUUCAUUUUUUAUUCUGCCAAAUGAUAUCAAAGAUAGAUAUGAUCAAAUUUAAGAGUCUUCCAAAUACAAUAGUACAACCAGAAUGAACAUUGCAUAAUUAUAGUAACAUAUUCAAUGAACGACCCCUAAUUAUACUGAUAAGACAUUAUUGUUCUUUUAUAACUAUAUUUACAUAUAGACACAUAUAAUAGCUGUAAUCGUAACUAAAUGCCACCUACACACACUAUUUGCUUCUUUUUAAAGCCAAUUCAUAAUAUUUUGACAUACAUAACAAAUGGUACAUGACCAUAAGUAACAUAUUCAAUGAACGACCCCUAAUUAUACCAGUAAGACAUUAUUGUUUUUUUAUAACUAUAUUUACAUAUAGACACGUAUAAGAUUUGUAAUCGUAACUAAAUGCUACCUACACACACAAUAUUUGUUUAUUCUUAAAGCCAAUUCAUAAUAUUUUGACACACAUAAUAAAAGGUACAUGACCAUAAGUAACUAAUAGUAACUUGUUUUAUUUUCUUGCAUUAACUAAGUACAACUAGUAUAGAACCGCGCUAUGGACACAUAUUAAUAUUUAGUGUGACCAUAUGUAUCACCUUUUAGCUACUUUGUCUGUUAUGUGGCUAAAAAGGCACCGGUUUAUAGACACACAAAGAACUAACUCAUGUGACCAUAAUUUUAUCUAUUGUCUCUCAUAAAAACAAGCAUGACAAUCUUAAUCGAUACCUGUGGCUGAUUGUGACCUAUGGCCUCAGUGUUCGAGUGUGACUAAUAUUUUUCACAUUUGGUAUAAUUAAGUGUGGUUAAAGUUUUGAUUAUCUAUAUAAUGGCCACACAAAGUAAUUUAAGUGUAUCCAAAAACAGUCUCUAAAUUUUUUUAGUGACCUUUGGCCACACUUUUAAUAAAAAGUGUCACAAGUCGUUUUUCGAAAAGUGUGACCAUAGGUCAUUUUUGUACUAGUGACCUCAAAGUAAAGGUGAAUAUGGCAAUUGAUGUAAAAGUGAUAUUUAGUUUUAUAAAGGGUAAAUUUGUCAUUUUUUGUUCCAUUAUUUUGCCAGCUAUAUUUAUAAGGAAAAUUUUGUUGGAAGGAAUUAUACUACUUUAAUGUAAUCAGUUCAAUAUAACUUAAUAAAAUCUUCGUGUCUCGUCCAUUUCUUCGGCGUUUCCAUCCCCGCAAAGCGGGAAUUCUUCCCUAGUUAUACAUUUUUUUGAGUUAUAGUCACAAAAUAUACGUAUAAAUCAUUUUUGUUAAAACUCUACAUAAAAUGAUUAUUAAAGGAGUAUAUUAUUUUGAUUUUAAAAGACUAUCAAUUUGUAAAUUAUGGAGUGUUGUUAUGAUAUUUUAAGAAAAAUCUUAUGAAUAUGUAUAUAUUAAAAUUUCAUGUUAUGAUGUAUAAAAUAUAACAAAUAUUUAAAAUAACAAAUGUUUUAUCAUCUUAACGGGUAAAAUAAAUAGUAAUUUAAAUAUUUAAUAUUUUCAUAUUAUGAAAUAUUAAAUUUAAUGUUUGUUAUAUUUUGUAGUNUUCAAAAGUUGUGGUUUUCACUUGUGUUGAAAACUGCAACCGUUAUGCUGCCCAAAUUUCUUUGGGAAACUUUUAUUACUUAUUAUUCAAAGUUAAAUAACCUUUAUAACUAAAAGUCUCCAACGUCGAAUAACUAAAGAAUUGUGAACAAGAGUACGAGAUCUUUAUGUGAGUUUACUUUUCAUCAAACUAAGAACACAAACUUAGUGAAGACCUCUGUAAUAACAGUUAAUCCUUAAAGAGGAGGAGAAUGUUGUGUAUAUAUUUAUAUGGGUUGACAUCCCUAUGUGCAGUUGAUAGCUACAACCUUCGUAUGACGAGACAAAACAUGUGAUAACUUUGUAUUUUAUCCCAUUUUUGUUUUGACGUUGAUUAAGCGUCAUCAAAACUAUUUUAUAUUUAACAGAUGUGGAUACAAAUCAUAUAGCUCAGUUAUUAAACACUACAUAACCUCGAAAUCCAUUACCAAAAUAUUAAUAUAAAUUAAAAUUAUAUGUAUUGGUGAUAUUGUUGUAGUAAUAGUAUUUAUUUACAUAAGAUAAAUAUUUAGUAGUUCACUUCUUAAAUAUGUAAAUCUUUACUUAUGCAUUAUGAAUGAAAUUGACUUCAAAGAUUAUAACAAUUCAAGAAAACAAGUUCAUCUAAUCUAUAUUUAUUUAGAAUUAUAAAGAUGAAUAACUCUUUGUUUAUCGCUCUUGUAUUUAUAAAAAUUACAUUUUUAUAAAACUUUCGGCGUCAAAACCUAUGAAACUGUCACACCCCCGAACCAGACGGCGGAAACGUCCGGGGGCUGUCGUGACUCAAUUGAAUACCAUAACAUUGAAUAUAUAUGAAACGUAACAACAUUCGUCACCAUGCAUUAAUAUAAUACAACCAUUAGAGUUUACAUGAUGUACAUCGUUAAACAUUACAUUCCCCAAAAAUAAAUUGUUCGAUUCGUACAUAAAUAAACUGCAAGCCAUCACUGAAUAUGAUUUCCUUUGAUUCACUGGUUCCCUGAGACUACANUGAGAAUACAAGUAUUUUGAAAAACGUCAACAUGUGAAAUGUUGGUGAGUUCAUAAGCGGUAUUUGAAAAAAAACAAUGUUUCGUAUCGUUUGAAAACCACCAGAAAAUCCGAUAUUUUCUGAAAAGUAAAGCUUUUGAAAACGUUUGUGAAGAUCCAUAGGUAUGCUUGUUUGUUUCUAUACUUGUAAAACAAUUGUUCAUUAAAGUUGUAUGUAUUUCGAAUCUGUGUGUAUUAAAAAAAAAAAACCCUAGGAAAACCCGAUGUUUUCCUAAUUCAUUGAAUUCCAUGAAGUUACAUUGAAACCAAUAUUGUAUAGCGUGUAGUGUCAGUCCCAGGCGACGUUGAAUUAUUUUUUAGCAUGAUUAAUUGCUACGAACACGCAUUACACAAACGACCAGUUUAUAGCUAUACUAACGAUCCCGUAGGCGUCGUCCGUACUAAUCACGUUAUCCAACCACCCUGACUAUGUAUAGUCCCACAUCCGAAGAGAAAGAGGACACGAAGACCUCGAUGACUCCAUUAACCGGUUGGGGAUAAAAAAAUGUACGAGGGGUCCCAGACCCGCCUCGCAUGAAAUGCAGACUUUACUAGCAAUACCAAAGGACCCUUGGGGACUAGUAGUAUACAAGCCAUUGAAAGUCCUUUUACGUUGUGUUAGAUCGGUAAAACCCAACACUUCGUAAGAUAGAGGUCUUCGGGCCUUAAGAUCAGGUCAUUGGGCUAGCUAGGCCCAACAAACAAGAUUUUACACUUUUGGGGCCCAAAGAUGGUGCGUAGACGUCUGUGCACACUCGCAUGUAUAUUGAAUUCCCAAACGUUACUUGUAUGAAUCGUAGUGUCGUAGUGUCAUAGUGUCGUCGUGUUAGUAGUUUCGGAUUUUUAUUGGUUCGAGACCGAACCAAUUCGUUUAACAACGACUUUUGGUAUUGUAAUGUAUUGUAUUUCGUCGAUAGUCGCGGUGCCAUUAUUUGAUCAAAUUGCGUGUAUUGAAUUAGCCUUGAAAGUUUUCUGUUUUCAACCCCUCAUUGUUUGUAAAAUUUACUUUUUCAACCCUUUAAUUAAAUACUUUCCGGUUUGGUCCUUAAAUCAAUUUUCUUGACAUUUUAACACCAAAAAUUAUUGAAAUUAAUAUUUUUCAGCAUAUUUUUCAUAGAAAACAGUUUAAGUCCCUGAAAUUGCAGUUUUCUCGGUUAUAACCCUUCUUUUUCGCAAUUUUGACAAUUUUGGCCCAAAUUGUAAAAUUUUUGCAACUUUGGUCCUUUUUAAAUUUAAAAAGCAUUUUAAACCUUUGAAAAGGACUUGGAACACUUAUAGUCCACUGUUUUACAGAAAAACACAGUUUUGGCCCUCCAAAACAGAAAAUCUCGCAUAAUGGGCCUCAUUGGGCCGAAAAUGUCAUUUUUAGCCCAUUAAGCUUGAAAUUUAUGUUUUUAAUCCUCCAAAUGAGUAUAUUUCCAGAAAUUGUUUUAUUGAAACUGUUUUAACACACCUCAUCCAUCAGAAUUCGUGAUAUGUCAAUUUGGGCCCUUAACUUUGUAUUUUUCACAUUUUAGGCCCAAAAAUUGUGUUUUUAGCCCAAAGAAAAUGUUACUAAGCCAUUUAGCUAUUUUUCUAGGAACACUUUGUAUGUAGAAAUAUAUUUGAUGCUAGAAUCAUUUAACAAAAAGUAUAUCUCGGUUUUGAGGGGUUUUAUGGCGAGAUCCAACAUUAUAGCACACAACAACACACAUAUAAGCAUGGAAAUCAUACAAGGCAUACAAAACACAUAUAGAUCUACACUUUCACUUGUAUUCCCCCUCCCCCCAACAAAACUCAUAAAAACAGAAAAUAGGGGGUAUGAAGCUCACCUUGUUUGAAGCUUUCGGUUUUUGAAGAAAAGAUGGAAGAAAAUGAAGUGAUUUUCGGCCCUAGCACCUUUCCUUGGUAGAUCUCGAGUUUGGUGACUUCUAAGGUGCAUGAUCACAAGUUGGAAUAGAUUUAGAAGAGGUUUUUGAUGGAAUGAAGUAGCUAGAUCAUGGAUAUAAGUAGAAACUUACCUAAGAUGAUGAUUAACUUGAAAGGUCCUCUUGAAAGCUCCUUAGAUUUUGAAAUUUUUGAAGAAGGGGGAAGGAGAUGUUCUUCAAGAUUUAGAGAGAGUUUGGAAGAGAUUUUUGUGGUGUGUGUGUGUGUUUCGGCCGAGAGUGAGAGAGAGGAGAGAAGAGAAGUGAUCUUUGAAGUGAUAUGUUCCUAGAAGUAUGAGAUGUGCAUGGAAACAUGUUGGGUAUAAAUGAGGUGGCAAGCAAAUAGUCAACUCUUCCAUUUCCUCUUGGGCUUGGGCCUUGGGCCGAGAAUUUGGAAGGGAAAAAGAAAAAUUUGGGCUUUUUCCCUUAAGCCCAAAAUUAGAGUUAGUUUGGGUGAAUUUUAACAUAAAAGAAUAAAGUAUGAUUUUUCCAUUUUUUUUGUUGGACUAGUUUAGGGUAUUGAUGGAUCAAAGCUUUAAUUCAUUUCAUUCUAGGCCCAACAUGGCCCAAAAUGUUGAAAUAAAUUAGUGUGGGUCCAAUUAGAGCCCAAUUAGGGUUCUAAGCCCAUGAUAGUCUAAUUGGAAGCUUAUUGGUCCAUUUGGAUCCAAUAAGGAAGUCCUAGUCCAAAAUGGACGUAAACAAGGACUUCUAGGGUCUCCAAUUAUUUGAUGACUAUUUGUAGUACUUGUAUGAUGUAUUUGAUUGAAGUUUUUGAUGUCAUAAUAGUAGGUGUCAACCAUGUUCUUAAGUUUUUGAUUCACAUUAGCUUGAGUGUAUAGAUUACAUGACACAAAAUUUCCAGUUGUGACAGAAACUCACCAACAUAUUUUGUUGACUUAUUUUUAAAAUAUGUGUAGUCUCAGGUAACCAUGAAGCCGAAGAUAGAACAUCGAUGCUAUGGAAACUAUAUUUCAUUCCUUAUAAAUAAUAGUGACAUGUUUUUCUUUUCGUUAAUGUUUAAAGUAUUAUAAUGUUUCCGUUUCCAAAUUAAAAGUCUGUAAUAUAUUAAUUAUCAUACAUUAAAUGUUCAACAUACGUGGUUGACUGUGAUCUAAUUUUUAACGUUGCGACUCCGACAUUUUCCGCCAUUUGUCGGGGUGUGAUAGAUUGGUAUCAGAGCUAAUAACUAUAAAGAACUCAGUAUUUUCUUACGAAAAUACAACUAUAGUUUAGGGAUUAUUCGUAUAAGAUUAAGUAGACCUUUAUCCUACAAAUACAAAAAUGUCACAAAGCAUCGAUUAAUAAAUAAUAUUAAUUUAUAUAUAUUUAUAAGUUCUGUGAAAAUUAAAUUUGAAACUUUAAAGAAAAUACAUAACAACUUAAAACGCAAGAAUUUAGGUCAAUUACCCAAAUAGGUUUUAUAAUACAUAGGCUUUAUCACAACUAGACCUAGGUUGCGCACCUAAGUUUUAUUAUGAUCGCGCCUUAUGAAUUAUUUCACUUAAAUGACGUAAUUGAUAGACUAAAAACUUGGUGAAUUAAGAAAUUAAAUUUUACAAAUAUUAAUAUGGUAAUUAUUUUUUAAUAUAAUUAUUCUUUAAUUAUUAAAAGUUAUUUCUCUAAUUAGAUGGAUGAAUUAUGGCGAAUCAUCAAUCCCCCGGCCCACGCCCACCAAUAUUUGCAGGGGACCCAUACUUUCCGGAUUUACCAACUGUUCAAGACCAAAUUCCAGUAGCUGAAGAUGUACCGAUCUCAGAUAGGGAAAAUGAUAUGGAAGAAGAGCCGAAGGAAGAUCCGAAAGAGGAGAAUCAAGAAAUGGAGAUUGUUAGUGACGAAGUGACGAAUGAUAUUUCCCCCAAUCGUUCACAUGUCAAAAUGUUUGACGCCGCCUCAAACGCACUGCAAGAAUAUCCAUUCCUGACCCCAAGGACUAAAUAACCAUUUCUCUUACUCAUGCAGCAAAGUCAAUACUUGGGUGGAACAAUGGCAUCAAGCAGAAGCCAAAAAGAAGGGACAAACCUUGGGGAUUGAACCUCCAACUUCCUCCGGCAUUGAUGCACUAGCGAAAAAAUGGAUCACCUGAGUGGAAAAAUGUGACAGUUAAGUGAUGAGGCAAGGACCAAUCAUGGCGAGAUGACACAAAAGUGAACCAGAAUGUCUAAGAUCGAAGAAAAUUGGGAAGAUGACCAACUCACAACUGAACCUCCACUAGCACAUGGACUACUAUCACAGUCGAGUGAUGCAUCUAGAUGUGAGGGUUAAAGCAGCAGAAAGUCAAAAUAAGAUAAAUCUCUCAUUGGCCCAUAGACUGGAAGAGAGCAACCGACUUUUGGAGGAAAAAGUUGAGCAACUAUUUCAAGCCAGGGACUCAUCUGGAGGGUCGCAGUAAGCAAAGUGAUGUAUUACGAUUGUAGCGGAAGGGUGAUAAAGUAGACAAGAGUUAUGUAGUCAUGUCAAAUUUAGAUAGAAUUUCAAAAAUCAUAAAUGAUUUAGGAUUAUCUAAACUUAAUUAUGAACUUUAGGACGUUGUAAGAAAUAUGUAUGGUGUUUUUAUUAAAAUUUCAACGGUAAUGAAUGAUGUAACAUAAUUUAUGUAUGAAAUAUUGAUGAAGGUAUUAACAUAUUAUGUUUUGAUAAUUAAACCAUGUUGUAUUCGAUUAAAAGUACUUCAUGGACUUAUAAACCAUUAUUCUUUUAUUGUUAUUUUUGUCAAAACAAUCGUUUAAAUAAUAGUUCUAUAAAUGACUAACAUAAUGGCAUAAACUUCUCGUCUUCUACUAACCAUAGUGGGAAUUAGAAAAUCCCGCCAAGGAAGAGUCCCUGCUUAAAUCCUAAGGGAACCAAAAAUCCUAAGCCAAAAACUACCGGUGAAUCCGAGAAAAUAUAUCAAGUAGAAAUUCCAGCGAUUGAAAUCUCAAAACCAGAGGAACCAAUAUCACCCCACCCGAGGAGGUGUAACGCCUGAUUUUCAGGUAAAUUUCCUAAAAUAUAAAGUGUUUAUUUAUUUUAUGACUGGCCUAGUACGUUGGGCGUAGCAUGGCAAACGUUCGACAUGGGUCUUUCCCCCCUAGUAUAUUGGGAGUACCUAAGCCAGAGGCAAACCCUAAAUUUUAGGGUUUGGACCCUUUAAGCACCAUAUGCCCAAAGGUUUCUCUCAUUACCAGCCUCAAUUGUCCCCAAAGCAUUAUCUCAAAACCCUAAUCCCUUUUUAUGUGACCAAUGAGUUUGCAGUUGUUCCUUUGGAUGAUACUUACGUGGAUAAAUGCUUGAAUUUAUGGAGAGACCAGUGGAGAUCUUGGAUAGGAAGACCAAGGCCCUACGCAACAAAGAAGUGUCUCUCGUCAAGCUCCAGUGGCAGGAUCAGAGGGAUUCCGAAUAGAUGUGGGAUACUGAGGCGGAGAUGCGUGAGGACUACCCUGAUUUAUUCGUGGUGGCAGACUUCGACGACGAAGUCUAGUUUAAGUGGGGGAGAGUUGAAACAUCUUGGUUUCCAGGUAUUUUCAAUUUGACCCUUGGUUUUUGAAUGAUUUUAAAAACUAAUCCCUAAUGGCAAUUUCGUAAUUAUUUGGACAUGCUUGUGUACGUUGGGCGUACGUGGCCAGAGUGCAAACCCUAAAUUUUAGGGUUUGGACCCAGUUUAAGCAUCAUUACAGCCCCAUACCCCUCCUUAACUCUAGUCUCUAUUCCUCAUUGACCUCAUUUCAAAACCCUAAAGUGUUUGAGUGCAUCUUGAAGCAUGUAGUGUCUUUUUGAUGCCAUUAGGUUACUCUUGAUGCCGAAGGAAGAGCUUCGAAGUUGAUGUGUUUCACUUAAGGCCUUGGAUCCGACAUCUACACUCGCUUGUGUGCCUUCUGGAGGUAUAAAGCUCGAACCUUGAUCAGUAUUUCAUUUAGAUCUAGUUUUAGCUUAAUUUUGGCACCUAUUUGUCCUAAAUUGUGAUCCUUGUGAGUAUGGAAUACUCCAAGAUGUUUGAGUUGUCCUUUCAGAUGUUUUAGGGUGUUUUAAGUCAUAAAAAUAUGAUCUUGGACAUUAUUUUCUUCCCAUGCAUGAUAUAGGUUCUCUUAAUGGGUCAAGAAGCUAGGGCGUUUGAUGUUAAGGUCUUAUUAGCCAUGCAAAACCAUAAAGUUGGAAACUAUAUGGUUAAGAACACCUUUUUGUGUCUAGAUCUGGAUUUUGGAUGGAAGAGCUUAAGGAUUAAGAACUUAAUAGGUUGAGAUGGUGACAUCCACGUAUGUUGGGCAUACCAAAGGGUACGAUGCGUGUAUGUGUCAGCCCUUUGUGGCUUAUUCAAACAUUCAGUAUGCCUCAUGUACAUGUUGACUACGCCCAACAUACUCACCGAGUUGACCCGAUUGACUCGGUUGACUUUGACCUAGAUUUUGGCCAAGGUUAACCUUGGGGUAUUUUGGGUGUUUUGAUCUAUAUUCUGAGUUUUGGUUGCUGUAUUUACAAAGGUGACCGGUAGAGUUGAUUUUGGAACAACAUGCUAUUUCUGGUUUCUCAUCUAUCUGUGAGGUAAGUUUUCUCACUAUAUCCAUGUGUCGAAGGCACCAAUUCCGGUCCAUUAUUCAUUUAUAUAGAAUGCUAGCUGCCGUGUGAUCUAUACUUGUUUGUAUGGCGGGGUUAAUUACACCUUGGAUCCUUAGCAACCAUCAAGAUCCCAUUUUUAUGACUUAAAAUCCUUAGAAAUAGCAAGAUAUGACAAUCGCAAGUUUAGGAGUAGCUUUGACUCACAAUAACUAAAACCAUCGGACCAAAAUCAUGAAAAACUCUACGCUAACCUAGAUCUAAACCAAGGAAUCAUAAAGUUUCAAGUUUUAUACCUUUAGAGGCUUGCAAAUGGAAUGGAAGUUCUGGAUCUUCAAGCUCCAAGCUCACCAAUGCUUAUUUAGUGGAUUCAUUCUUAACAACCACAAAAAAAAAACUCACUCAAAAUGCUCAAGGUCUUCAUAAAGUAGAUAGGGUUUCGAAAUGAAAAAUCGGAGGGAAGUGGAGGCUGAACAUGAAGAGACCUCAAGGGACUUAAGUUGCUUAAAUAGGAUCUCAACCCUAAAAUUUAGGGUUUUGAGAUCAGCUUGAGUACGCCCUACGUACACAUCAUGUACGCCCAAUGUACUACAUGAACUCCGUGUUCCAUUUUAAUGACUUAUCCCCGAUGUCCACUUCAUGUAUGCCCAACGUAAGGACCAUAACUGCAAAGAUUAAAUAUUUUGAGCCAUGAAUUGAAAUACCUUGGAAAACGGAUGUUACACAAUAUUAAGUCUUUUAAGGUAGGGAAGAUGUAGUAAGACCUUUGAAAAUGAUUCCACAUCCAUAAAACCAUCUAGCAUUAGAUAAACAGAAGAUUGUGGAAGAAGAAAAGACGACGACGACGAUGAUGAUGAUGAUGAUAAUGAUGAUAAUGAUGAUGAUGGAAUUGUAGUACUCUUCAGGUCCUCUUCCAUGUCAACAUCCAAUUUCGUAUGAGGAAGUUUUAACUAAAAGAAGAUAAGAUCAAAAAAUGGCCACAUGGACACGAUGUGUCCCUCUUCCAUGCGUUAGCGUAGAUGUGUCACACACAGGGACACAUGACAACAGAUGAAUGAUGCAUGGCAUAAAAAUUAACACCUUGCAUGGACACAACGCUUCCCCUUCUAAGCGUACGGUAGCCAAAAUUUGGUGGCUAUAAAUAGCAGCCUGAAGGUCCUUAUUUCGAACACAUUUUUUUUCUGAAAUCUCUCUCUCUCUCUCUCUCUCUCUCUCUCUCCCUAUUUCACCUUGAGAUCUUAUUCUGUCAUGAUUUGAUUUCUUGUUCUUAAUUAUCAAUAGUGAAGACCUGAAGCACUAGAAGGAACCAACAAGAAAAGAAUUAAGCGUUGAGGUUAUGCUUGUUUUCUGAUUCAUUCGUUAAUCAAAUUAGUUGUACUUUCAAUUAAGUAUAACUUUAUAUAAGCUAUACCCAUUUUCAUUGUUAUAAAAUUAUAAACGAGAUUAAUGAAGGAUCUAGGUAUUAGAUUCCAUAUUCAUUAAUCAAAAAUAGUGUUAUAGGUUAAUGUGUGCUUAGCGUGCCUACUCUCUAGUUGAAUUGCAGUUAGUUGUUCAAGUAAUUGAUCAUUUGAGUUACACUAACUCAUUUAUUAAGUUAGCUUUGCUUGUUUAUGUGUAAUAUUUUCCAUGGAUACCCCCUUCGGUAGAGUGGAGUAGGUUAAAGGAAUGGACUAACUAAGGUUAUCCUUUACAAAAUUAGUUGGGGGAAGACGAUCAUGAUGCUAGUGUGAUCUGUCUUCAUAUAUAGGUAUAGGUUAAAGGGAUAGAGUAAGUGAUAAUAUCCUUCACAAAAUUAGUUGGGGGAAGAUGAUCAUGUCGCUAGUGUGAUCAAUCUUCAUAUAUAGAUAUAGGUGAAAGGUAUGAACUAAUGUAGGGUAUCCUUCAAGGAAUCAUUUAGAGGUAAUGCAAUCAUGACAAAUGGUGUGAUUAGUCUUGCUUUGACCAUGACACAUAUAUGUGAUUAAUCCUUAUUAGUGUGUCCAAUAUAUAUUAGGAUUCAUAUGCUAUGUGAACCUAUUUGGAGGUUUAUGAUUAAUAUAAUGAGUGAUUGUUGUGUUGACUCACUAAGUGUUUUCUCUUACCCCUUAUUAAUAUUUUUUUCAAGACAAUUAGAGAAGACCCCAAAUUGAUAGCAACAACAUUCACAUUACAAAUUUGAAACUAUUGAAAAUUCAAAGUCUUUGGCUAUUUAUUCUCAAUGUCAAUGCUUUAUGUAAAACUAGAAGGAAUGAUUUUUAUAAAUGAUAUUUUAUUAUUAGAUUCUAUUUGGGAAAAAAUAGAUCUUUUUUUCUUUUUGGAAACAUAGUGUUACAAUCUUGGUUUAAUCCAUGAUCCAAUGGUAUUAAGGAUAUUAUGAUAGUGUUAAAUCAUAUGUAGUAAAGUUAUUAAAGCAUGUAAAUCAUUGAAAUGGUUUCAAAUGAAGCUUGGUAGGGUUUAGAGAUCAUAUGAGCAAAGUACAAUGCCUAAAGAAGUAAACCAUCACAUUUUUUGUAGCAUUUCUAAGCCAUUUAACAUAAGCUCGGGUUGACCUAUAUGACCCCUGGCGGGCCAAAUGAAGGCCUAGGCAGGCUUGGGAGCGUAGUCUUGCCACUAAAAUUUUUUUGCUCAUUACUUUUGCAUAUAUAUUCGAAACCAUGCACCAAUUUUGCCGGAAGAUUCUGAAAUAAUAAAAUUUAAUAUUUAUGAUUAACAUAUUAAUAGGGGACUUAAUGGACUACUUAAUAAAGUGUUGAUACACUUUUUGAUGCUAUUCAGUGACCCUUGAGUUACUAUAUCAUUCUUGAAGAGAAAGGGUGUGUUAGAAACUUCUACAUACCUUGAAAGUGAAGAAGGAUAAAUUUAGACUAAGGUGAGUAAUUACAAAGUACAUGUCCUUAUGAAAAUAAAUGAUGUCUGUAUGAUAUGAAUAAUUACUAAGUGUUUCUGCAAACUUGCUUGCUAUAUGGAAUAUAAUAUGUAUCUAUGUCUAUAUACAUGAACUUAUAUAUUCUAAACUAUGUUUUGAAGACGUAAUGACUACUAUGAGUUUAGAAUUAUCUUUCUCAUUACUAUGUGCACAUAUAUGUAUUCAUGCUAAGAUGGGAAUGGGAUGAGUUUAUCCAACCUUAAUGUCCAUGGAGAAUGAUGAUAAUGAUGAUGUAUGACCAAAAUUUUCAAAUGACAUAGUGAAGGUACUCUAGACGCUUCCUCACUUGCAAGUAUGGGUAGCUACCUUGUAUAUGGAUAUGUAAGUGGGCACAUGUCCUAGUUAUUGACUGUGGGGUUCCACUAUAAUCUUUAGUUAGGACAUGCUACAUUAUUCGGAUAAUCUCUCAAAAUUACGUUGUAAGAACACAUCUCACUUUAUAAAUAGAUGAUGUGUGUGGUUGGAUAUAUGAGUUUGACUUGGAGAAUGAUGAUAGGAGUUUUUCCAACCUAAACGUCCAUGGAAAAUGAUGAUAAUGUUGAUGUACGACCAAAAGUGUCAAAUGACUUAGUGAUGGUACUCUAGGAGCUUUGUCACUUGUUUGUAAGGCUAACUACCUUGUAUAUGGAUAUGUGAGUGGGAAUAUAUCCUAGUUAUGACUACGAGGUUAUACUAUAAUGUUUAGGUAGGACAUGACACAUCAUUUGUAUACUUUCUUAAAAUGACGUUAUGAGACACUUCUCACUUCAUAACUUGAUGAUGUGUGAGUUUGGAAAUAUGAUAUUUACUUGGCAAAGGGUUAGAAGUAUAUUACAUUGCAUCUAAUCUUUUAUGACUCUAACAACUAGCACUAUAAACGAACUGAACGUGCAAUAGACUAUUCAUGAACCGUUCUGCGAGAAGUUCAUUUAUGUUCACUUAUUUAAUAAAUGAACAAAUAUGAACAAAAAUUCUUGUUCGUUUGGUUAAACGAACGAACAUGAAAUAUAGUCUUGUUCGUUCAAUUAUGUUCGUGCACGUUUGUGUAUGUUGUUUGUUUUUUGUUUAUGUUCUUUCAUUUAAGUUCUUUUUAUGUUCAUAUAUAUUAAAUUGUGUUGGAUUACAUUACUAUAUUAUAUGUUUGUGUAUGUUCAUAUUUGUUCAAUUACUUUUGUUUAUAUCUAUUCCUUUAUGUUCAUUUAGCAUGUUUAUUAACAUGAACAAGAAAACUCUUCCGUGUUUGUUCGUUUGUUCGACUAAAUUAAACAAACAUAUAUGAACAACCCUCGUUUGUGUUUGUUCGGCUCAUUUACAAUCCUUUAAUUACUAAUUACGUACGAUAUUUUCAUUAUGACCCUAAUGAUGAUAUUGUGAUUAUGAUAUUAAUGAUGACAUUUGAUUAUGACUGUAGUGAUGAUACUUUGAUUAUAACUAAAUGACGGUUAACGACUUAUGAAUUUGCUUUAAAUGACUUGUGGUUUACUAAUGAUAAAUGAAUUAUGAUUUUUCAACGAGUAAAUAUUAUUCUAAUUUGUGUAUGAGUGAAAACUUACAGACUUAUGAUUUCAUGAUUAAAGACUUAUGAUUUUAAGGCUAAAGACUUAAUGGUUUGGAAAUACAAUUUUUUCAUGUUUCAACAAAUUUUUUCAAAUGAUUUUUGGGUUUUUUUUAUUAGUCAUUGGAUUGUGCAAACUCCUUUAAUAUUAAAGGUGUGAAAUACCGGUAUUACUCACUAGCAUUCACAAUGACUAGCCUAUGUUUUGAAAUGUAUUAAUAUGAUAAUAUCAAAUGGAGACUUAGAAUAUGACUUGGAAUUUUAUAAGGCCAAAGUAUUGUGUGGUUACUUGAACUAUUCUUUUGAUAUUAUGAUUGCUUAACCGCCUCUAAGUACUUAAAUUUGUCAAUAUUUUGUAAACAAUGACUAUGAGACCUUAUUUCUCUAACAUCCCAUUUUUCAAGUAGCUUCAAAUUCAUCCCUCGGAUUUUAAUUAUGUCACUUUUGGCCAUGGAUUUGGAAGGAAGUGGCAAGAAAGGACCAAGCAUGAAAAGGUUGCAACUGGGUGAGUAUGUCGAGCAUAAGCUGGGGUACGCCCAACGUAGAAGGUUAAAUGGUCGCGAGUGUUGGACACGUACGCCCAACGUACGAGAUGUACGUCCAGCGUACGCUCGGUGGCACUAAACCCUAGUUUUAGGGUCAAUCACUAUAUAAAGAACAUGAGGGCUUGAACCCUAGCCCCUUAUCAGCCUCCCCAACCUCAGAAAAACCCUAGAAUGUCUCAUCCCUUCAUUCUUUUGUGAUCUUGAUCUUAAGAGGCCAUCUUGGUGUUUUUAAGCUUGGAAGAGGAAGGAAGAAGUUGGCAAAGAAGGACUUGGGAAGUUUGAGCUCAUAGAUCAGGAAUGGCAUCAUCAUUUGAGAUUCUUUGGAGGUAUAAAGUUCAUAAUUUUCCUCAAGAAUGCUCAGAUCUAGAGUAGUGUGGUUUUGAAGUCAUUUUGGUCCCAACUAUAGAACUUUGUGGUUCAAAUCCUAUUUCUGGAUUUAGAGUUGCCACUCUCAGUUCAAAAUGAGUCCCUAAGGCAGAAAGUUGCCAUUUUGAAUGCCUUAUUGGAUUCAUGCAUGAGUUAAGAUCAUUUCUUUGAGAAUGGAAUGGUAUUUUGGAGUUUGGGCUUAUUAGGGUCAUGCAAAGUGACUCUAUGGAUUAAGACAUUGAAAAGGACUUGGAUCUGUGAUUGUAGCUUCUGGAUUAGAUUAUUAAGCACUUAAUGCGAAGUGACUUAACAGGGGAGUACGUUGAGCGUACAUGCAGGUAUGCCUAGUAUACGCACCAUUUUUCUUGUACGCGUAGCGUACAUAGGAGUACGCCCAGCAUACUCCUCAAAUAUGGGCCUUGCGAGGUUUGGGUCUCGGUUUGGGUCAUGCAGGGUAUUUUGGUUUUUUGGGCCUUAGUGGGUCAUAAGAAGUCAAAUAGUGUGGGCCAAGAAGAUGUUUGGGCUUAGGGUAAGGCCUAUUAGAGGUAUUGGGUCCAGUUUAGCAAAUUGGGCCAUUUGUGGGCCAAUGGUGGGCUUGGAAAGCCUACCUAGUGUUGCGUUUUGUCUUGGGUUGGCCCUUAGUUUUGGAUCAUAAUGGGCCAGGGGUAGAAUGAUCAUUUUACCCCAUGCAUGGAUUAAGGAUUAUGGUACGGGACCCAAUUGCUAAUUAGGUAUAUUGAUCGGUAUUGAUAGCUCAGGAAGUGGACAAGGCAGCAGCUAAGGAUUUCAUUCAGGAAGCGUCUGCAUUCGAGGUGAGUUAUCCUCGCUAUAUCAACAGGGUCUAAGGCACCAAGGUCGGCCCUUUAUCGGAUUUGUAUCCGGGUAUUUGCUUGAAAUGUUUAUUGAUUUGCCAGAUAUGCAUCCUGGUAGUUAGGAUGAUAUUAUGUUUAGUGACCUAAUUUAGGUCGGUAUCCUGGAAUAUAGGAUGAUCAUGUUAGUGACCGGUUAGGUCUAUAUCCUGGUUAUAGGAUGGCUGCUUUGUUAGUGAUCCGUUAGAUCGGUAUGAUUAUCUGUUAUAUACAUGCUAGCAUAUGAUAGUUAUGUUCACAUGAUUGUUUGAUUGGUAUUGGCAUUGGGUUGAGGCGGGUCCUGCUUCGUGCUGUAGGCCAACAUACCCGGGGCGGACCGGAUAGAAUGUAGGCCCAAGAGGGCACAUAGUCAGGCUGAAGGCCCGACGAGCGGUCCGGUUACACUGAAGGCCCUAAGAGGGCAGUCAAGACGUGCCAAGGCUCAGAGAGUGGGCUAGAAAUACUGAAGGCCCGGUGCGGGCGGUCCAGUCAUACUAUAGACUCAGAGAGUGGGCCAGGUGGACUGAAGGCCCGAUGCGGGCGGACCAGUCACACCGUAGACUCGAGAUGCAUGUUGUUCUGUGUUUGCUAUAUGAUAUGUUUAUGGUUGUAUGAGGUUGGUAUUUUGGGGGUAACUCACUAUGCCUUCGAGCUUACAUUUAUCGAUUAUUGGUUUAGGUACAACAGAGGCGUGACCGUACACUUCCUCAUAAUUUGAUUUGGAUUUCUGGGAUACUCUGAUAUGAAACUAUUUUGAAAACAAAUUUGUAAUAACUAUUGGUAUUCGAAAUGUUUUUAAAAGUUUAAAUUUGGCAUGAUUUUUAUGGAGGUUAUAAUUUCCGACUUUUUGCAACUUAUGAUUUAAAAAUGAUUUUCUAAAUAUUUAAAUAUUAAUUAGAAAAAAGGACGUUACAUCAAACUUCCCACACCAUUUUUAAUAAGAUAAUUAAAGAAAAUAAAGAACAACAAUUAAACCUUUCAUUAACUAAAAAAAGUGCUAGACGAAGAGAGAAACAAAAUAUAAGAGUGAAAUCAAUACUAAAUAUGAAAAUAGAUAAACACAUGUGGUGGGGGAUUCGAUUGUUUACACAAAGCAAAGUCGAGAAAAGGAGAUGCAUGCGAGUGGUACCACACCACCACGGGGUGGUAUUCCCCUCGGUACCAUACUUUGUGCAACACUUUUUUCGAGUUCCCCAAAUCAACAUGAAACCCUCAGUGAUCAACAUGAAACCCUUGUUGAAAGCUUGUUUAGAGAUUAUGUUUAAGAAUAAACCUCAAAAUUUUACACUUUUUAAGAUAGUUUUUUGAGUCAAUUAUAGCAACCACUUUUAUUAUACUAAUUUUUUUAGAUUUGUGUGUUGUACAUGAGUAGAUUAGAUUAAUCGUUAAAAAAGAACCUCAAAGCCUUUUUUUUUUUACUAAUUAAUUUGUUUAAUUUUAAUCCCCAAUAUUAAUUUAAUGUAUUUUAAUAUAUUGAUUUUAUUUAAUGUUAUUGUUAAAUACAUAAAAAAAUACUAAACGUGUUUAAAAAUAACAAAUUAAAUGAAGAACAUUAUCAAAAAUUUCGCUGAAAUAAGGAUAAAUUAGUUCAUUAAUUUUUUUAAGGUGAUAAUAUGAUCUAGAGAAACCAAAUAUGUUCUUACCUUUUGUCUCCACCUACACAAAUAUAAAAAUCAAAAGAAUAGACUAAGAGAUAAUUAAUGCAUUUUACGUAUCAUUAUUUUAUAUAAAAUAAAGAAAAAUCAAAAGAAUAGACUAAGAGAUAAUUAAUACAUUUCACAUGUAAUUAUUUUAUAUAAAAUAGAGAUAUGUAGUAACAACAAGAGUAAAUUACACGAAUGGUCCCUAUGGUUUGGGAUAAUUUGUACGUUUGGUGCCUAACUUAGUUUUUUUAACUCGAAAGGUCCUACAAUUUGUUUUUGUUGCGUGCGUGGUCCCUUGUCUAACCUAAAAACACUAUUUUGCCUUUGAUUUUUUAAUUUAUUUAAAUAAAAUGGGGUAUAUAAUAUAAGGUAAGAUGAGGUGGAAGUGGUGAUGGGAUGUAUUUAUUUAAAUAAAUUAAAAAACCAAAGGAAAAAUAGUAUAUUAGGGACCUAACGUGCAAAUAACCCCAAACCAUAGGAACCAUUUGUGUGAUUUACUCUAACAAAAAGGACGUGGAUAUUUAAUUUCUCUAUGAUUUAACUUAAUAUUUUUUUGCAUCAUAUAAUUAAUAGAAAGAUAAUAUCAUAUAAAAAAUAGAAAGAUGAUGGGACAAAUUAAAAAGGCUAUAGAUAGCCUUGCUCCAACUUUCACGGAAGUAAGGGCAAAUGAGUUUAUUUGUAGACUAAACCCUAUAAAUCUCGUAUACCAAAAUGACUAAUUUUGUAAUUUAUUAUUGUUUAUUUCUAUAUAAAGAUAACCAUUUCUUGUACUGUGGAUUUUUUUUUAUAAACUACUUUUAAUUAAAAUUCCAAAACAAACUAUGUUUGAUAAUUACUAUAUCUAAGUACAAUUCACUGAACCUAUACAACAGUUCAUCCACCAUUCAUCCCAAAUAUGGAAUUUGUAUUUGGUAUUUACUCGAACCCUUGAUUGUCUUAUAACUUUUUUCAACGUCCAUCCCUGUGCAUAUUUAGCUGAUUUGCCUCACUGACAUCGUGUAGACUGCCUUGGUCCAACGUGCACCUGUAGAAAUUGAGCAACUUCCUAAGAAUAACUCAUAAUUUAUAGAAACAUGCCAAGAUCACAUAAUAAUAUGGAAUAUUCUAAUAUGAUUUCAUAAACAAUCUCUAUAAUCAAUCACUAAUGACAACAAAUAUGAUGUCAUGAUAUUUGCACAGGUUUAUAGUGUGUAGACUUACAUCUUCCUUAACAUACUGAUCAAUUAUACUGGGAAUAGCCACACAAAAUGACAAUUAGUCAUGCUAUACAGAGUUUGACCAUAUUUUUUUUAUUUUACCAAAACAGAAAAGGUUUUAGUGUCAAAUGGAAUCUUAAUAACCUAGAAACCGAUACAAAUUUGUAAAGAAAUCUGAAGUUAUACAACAAAGGUUACAAAGGGAUUAAGAUGGCCCUGAUUUUCAAAAAUAUUACCAAAAUCAACAUCUCAAAGCCAACAGGUUUGACGUAAAAGGUCAAAAUUUCUGAAUUGAUGACCAAAUAAAAGGUCAAAGUUUCUGGAAAAAGUGCAAAUUGUAAACAAUUUUGUUAUGUUUUCUAGUAAUUCAUUCAACAAUGCACAAGUUCACUCGAAGCCAAGAUUAACGAAAACUACAACAUGACAACGAAAAGGAAUACACAAAGAAGUGGUGCAAUGAAGAUAAAAUAUUACGGUUGCAACAAAUAUACAUAGCAAGUUAAUGGUAAACGUUCUACAAAAACCGAAAAGCUAUUCAACUACUGCAGUUAUAGUUUUCUCUUAUUUUUGAACAAGUUUUGAUUGUUAGUUCAGUAUAAAAAUUGUAUUAUCAACAAACCAAAACAAACAAGUCUCAAAAUUAAUGUUCCUAAUACUUUGGGAUACUUAUUGAAAAAAAAAAAAAAAAAAAUACACAGAAAUUGAAAUCUUACUUUAUAUGGAACAUUUAAAAAAAAAAAAAAAAAAUAGUUGUGGAGGCCGUAAUACUUUGGGAUACAAGCUGUAGAACCCUCUUUCAUGUUUGUUAGGAACAAUGAUUAUAAUAACAUUAUUGAAAUGAAUAACCACUCUUAUGUAAGAGACACAGAUGAUGGGAAAGGAGAUGACGAACCUUUUCUACUUCAACACUGUUAUUGUCACAUUUGAUGGGUCGUAAAUGGCCUUAAGAUCUCCAAGCUUUGGGCAAUUCAAAAUUUCAAGUGUUUUAAGGCAGGGGAGGUGUUGUAAGACCUCUGAAAAUGAUUCCACAUCCUUAAAACCAUCAAGAUCUAGAUAAACAAGAGAUGGUGGAAGAAGAAAAGUUGAUGAUGAUGAAGGAGUAGUACAAGUAUUCCCCACAUCGUCUGCCACUGCAAAUGAAACCACUCCUGAAUUUUUGCCAGAUAACUCUAAUUCAACUAGUGAGGCUGGAAAAUUCUGGGGGCCCCACUCUGACAUGGGCUUAUUUAAGCCACCAAUCACUAAUUUGCUUAAAUUAGGAGGCCACACACCACAAGGAAAGGAGUAGUCCAUACUUGGACAAUCAUAUAUCCACAUUUCUUCCAAAGAUGUGAGACUUUGAAAUUGCUCAUGAGGAAAUGACUUUAGAUUCUUGCACCAACAGAUCUGAAGAGAUGUCAAACGAGACAAACUGAUGUCUUUUGCUGGAAUGGGUUUGGGUUGUAAUUGUAUGUUAUCACAAUCACCGACUAUCAAUUCAGUGAGAGGGGAUGGGUGCUCCUGCACUGCUGAGAAGGUCAAAGAUGUCACUGAAUCACAAUGCCAGAUCACCAAUUUCUCAACACUAUUUGGACAAUUGUAACUCUCCAAUGUCUCACAGUUAUGAAAUUCCACAGAUUUAAGUGAUUCCAUGCUGAUCCCAAUAUUAGCCUCUUUCUCGGCUGUUGAAACCAAGUUUUUACAAUUCCAUACUUCCAACUUCUGUAAACUCACAAGACUCUUGCAUGCCUCUGAUUCUCGUUCCCACAAGUAUCUCAGUUCAUCACAUCUGUUGAUAUGUAGAUGUUCAAGUGCCCUAAGAUGCAUUAAAUCUUCUCCAUGUAGUUGAGUUAGUCCUUUGACAUUUAACAAUUUUAAUUCAACAAGUGAUGAGGACAAACCAACCAAGCUUCUUAACACUGCAUUGGAACAAUUUCGUAUAUAUAAAACCCGAAGUGAAGGUAUCAAUCCGAUUGAAACUUCAGCUAGUUCUGGACAAUUGGCUAUACAGAUCUCAUGAAGACAAGGAAAUGAUCUAGGAGCUCCAUGUCCAUCACCACUAUUCAUUGACCAUCUCUGCCAGCCUUUCAUAUCAUAAAAUGUCAGACAUUCAAGGGAUGGAAAUGGAAUGCCAAGAUUAGAAUUAGGAGGUGCAAGGAACUCAAAACCCACGGUCUGCACCUCAUUCAUACUUUCAACAAUCAAUUUCUUAAGACACCCUAGACAUCCAAGUGUUGGUAGAUGUGUACUUCUACAACCACUUAAUGUAAGCUCUGUUAACUGAUCAAAGGAGGGAUCGCCAACCCAAGUAGGAAAUCGCAUUCCGCUGUUAUUGAAAAUCUUGAGAUUUUUUAACUUAGGAUGAGGCCUUAGUUCUUUAAGUACUUCAUAUUCAAUCAUCUCAUUCCGAGAAUCAUCAAACACAUAACUCCAUUCCAGCUCCAAAACAUCAAGACCUUUCUUUUGAUGUAACUUGGUAUCCUUUGCUUCUACUGGAUUUAUCACUUUUUCUAACCCCAUAAUGUACAGUUGGCCUUGAAGAUCUGUUAGGCCCUUAAAAUCGGAUAUUUUGAACCCAUUACCUUCUUCAAUAAUGACCUUGGUUAGAGUUUGUAGACUCCUCAACCCACCGAUCCCCAAGGGCAUCUUGUUCAAUUUUGGAGUAUAACUUAUAUCAAGAUGUCGUAGGUUUAUUAACUUUGCAAAAUUUUUUGGCAAGCUAGACAACUCACCACAACAAUGAACCAACAAGGUCUGUAGAUUAUAAAGCUCACUCACUUCUUCAGGCAAACAUGUGAUUCUGGUGUAAGAAAAAUUAAUGUACCGUAGAUGCUUGAGAUUACCAAUGGAUUCUGGUACCUUCCUGAUUAUCUCACUAUCUCCGUACAUGUCAUCCAAGCCCACGACACUUAGCACCCUCAGGAAUUGUAGUUCAAGAAGAACCUUGUCCAAAGAGCCAUCCUCCCAACCAUCUGACAUGACUAAGAAAGUUCUCAAGUAUUUAGCUCUUUGUAAUUCAAUAAACUUUCUAUAUGAUCCAGAUCCUCGACCUACAAGUGAAAGAUGACGAAACUUAUCAGAAGUUUCAUUCAUGUCAGAUAUAUCCACCUCACCAUCCAAUCUAAAGGAAAACUCUCCUACAACACUUGUAGCCAAGUCAUUCAUCAGGUCAUGCAUUGUAUAUCCUAACAUGUCAUUCGUUGACUGUUGAAAAAAGGACCUUGACUUUAACUCUUCAAAAUACUCAUGACCUAAAUUCUCCAUUGACUUGUUUCCUUUUGAUUGGGACAAAAAUCCUUCUGCCACCCACAAUAGGAC
rnacentral:lncRNA from 1 species